UACGGAGGGUGCAAGCGUUACUCGGAAUCACUGGGCGUAAAGCGCGCGUAGGCGGCUUGAUCAGUCAGAGGUGAAAUCCCGGGGCUCAACCCCGGAACUGCCUUUGAUACUGUCAAGCUAGAGCUCGGAAGAGGGUGGCGGAAUACCCAGUGUAGAGGUGAAAUUCGUAGAUAUUGGGUAGAACACCAGUGGCGAAGGCGGCCACCUGGUCCGUAGCUGACGCUGAGGUGCGAAAAGCGUGGGGAGCAAAACAGG
rnacentral:rRNA from 1 species